AGAGUUUGAUCCUGGCUCAGGAUGAACGCUGGCGGCGUGCCUAAUACAUGCAAGUCGAGCGAACGGACGAGAAGCUUGCUUCUCUGAUGUUAGCGGCGGACGGGUGAGUAACACGUGGAUAACCUACCUAUAAGACUGGGAUAACUUCGGGAAACCGGAGCUAAUACCGGAUGAUAUUUUGAACCGCAUGGUUCAAAAGUGAAAGACGGUCUUGCUGUCACUUAUAGAUGGAUCCGCGCUGCAUUAGCUAGUUGGUAAGGUAACGGCUUACCAAGGCAACGAUGCAUAGCCGACCUGAGAGGGUGAUCGGCCACACUGGAACUGAGACACGGUCCAGACUCCUACGGGAGGCAGCAGUAGGGAAUCUUCCGCAAUGGGCGAAAGCCUGACGGAGCAACGCCGCGUGAGUGAUGAAGGUCUUCGGAUCGUAAAACUCUGUUAUUAGGGAAGAACAUAUGUGUAAGUAACUGUGCACAUCUUGACGGUACCUAAUCAGAAAGCCACGGCUAACUACGUGCCAGCAGCCGCGGUAAUACGUAGGUGGCAAGCGUUAUCCGGAAUUAUUGGGCGUAAAGCGCGCGUAGGCGGUUUUUUAAGUCUGAUGUGAAAGCCCACGGCUCAACCGUGGAGGGUCAUUGGAAACUGGAAAACUUGAGUGCAGAAGAGGAAAGUGGAAUUCCAUGUGUAGCGGUGAAAUGCGCAGAGAUAUGGAGGAACACCAGUGGCGAAGGCGACUUUCUGGUCUGUAACUGACGCUGAUGUGCGAAAGCGUGGGGAUCAAACAGGAUUAGAUACCCUGGUAGUCCACGCCGUAAAC
rnacentral:rRNA from 1 species